GAUGAACGCUAGCUACAGGCUUAACACAUGCAAGUCGAGGGACCGGCGCACGGGUGAGUAACACGUAUCCAACCUUCCCUUUACUCGGGGAUAGCCUUUCGCAAUAAAGAUUAAUACCCGAUAUAAAGGAUGGGGAUGCGUUCCAUUAGGUUGUGGGUGAGGUAACGGCCAACCAAGCCUUCGAUGGAUAGGGGUUCUGAGAGGAAGGUCCACCAGAAUGGAACUACGACACGGUCCAAAAUCCUACGGGAGGCAGGAGUGAGGAAUAUUGGGGAAGGGGCGUUAGCCUGAACCAGCCAAGUAGCGUGAAGGGGGAAGGAUUAUGGGUCGUAAACUUCUGUUAAAUAAGAAUAGGUAUUAUAUGAAUAAGGAUCGGCUAACUCCGUGCCAGCAGCCGCGGUAAUUC
rnacentral:rRNA from 1 species